GAAAUAGCGUAAAUAAUUAUCUAAACAUAAGAAACAUAAAUAAAAUAGCACGCAAUAAUAUAAUACAGUAACUACCAUAAAUAACUACCAUAAGGGAGACACAAGCCAAAACACAAAUCAUCUAUGGAUAGCCCUGCCGAGCCUCACCCAACCCCGGGUGAGGAGUACAAAAAACUCUAGGGGCCCCUAUCCUACAACCCUGAUACUA
rnacentral:lncRNA from 1 species